rnacentral:rRNA from 1 species
GAUGAACGCUGGCGGCGUGCUUAACACAUGCAAGUCGAACGGAAAGGCCCUGCUUUUGUGGGGUUCUCGAGUGGCGAACGGGUGAGUAUCACGUGUGUAUCCUGCCCUUGUCUUUCGGAUAACAUCAGGAAACUGGGGCUAAUACCGGAUAGGAGCUCCUGCUCCAUGGUGGGCGUUGGAAAGUUUCGGCUGUUGGGGAUGGACUAGCGGCUUAUCCGCUUGUUGGUGGGGUAGUGGCUGACCAAGGCUUUGACGGGUAGGCGGCCUGAGAGGGGGACCGGCCACAAUGGGACUGCGGGACGGCCCAGUCGGCUACGGGAGGCAGCAGGGGGGAGUAUGGCACAAUGGGCCGAAGUCUGAUGCAGCAGCGCUGGGUGCGGGAAGACCGCCUUCGGGGUGAAAACCGCUGUCGCCUGUGACGAAGCGGGAGUGACGGUAAUGGGUAAAGAAGCACCGGCUAACUACGUG